GUGAAUCAUCAAAUUUUUGAACGCAAAUUGCACUUUUUGGUAAUCCGGUAAGUAUGUCUGUUUGAGGGUCAGUUAAAUUAUCAUUGGUGUUGUUGCUACCAGUAGUGGUGUGUGAUGCAUUGGUAUUGAGUAGUUCUUUACCUUUGGUUUAAGUGACUUAAAAUUAUGCUCGAUUUUUGAACGUAUUUAAAUUAUCUUUUAAGUGCGUAUUAUUACUUAUUAGGUACGGUCAUUUAAAUGCUUUCGUGUUAAUAC
rnacentral:misc_RNA from 1 species